rnacentral:rRNA from 1 species
GACGGAGGGAGCAAGUGUUAUUCUACUGGAAUCGGUGUAUGGGGUACGUAGACGGUUUUUUAAGUCAAGUACAUAAAAAAUAUCGUAAGAUUUGAAGAAUGUACUUGAGACUGUAAAACUUGAAUCAACUAUGGUGAGAAUAGUACAACAGGAGGAUAGGUAAAAUUAUAAGAUACUUGUGGGACUACCAUUCAGCGCAAGCAUUUCUCAAGAUUAUGAUUGACGUUAAGGUACAAAAGCGUGGGGAGCGAAUCGG